GACGAACGCUGGCGGCGUGCCUAAUACAUGCAAGUAGAACGCUGAAGGAGGAGCUUGCUCUUCUGGAUGAGUUGCGAACGGGUGAGUAACGCGUAGGUAACCUGCCUGGUAGUGGGGGAUAACUAUUGGAAACGAUAGCUAAUACCGCAUAAUAACAGUUGUUGCAUGACAACUGUUUGAAAGGUGCAAUUGCAUCACUACCAGAUGGACCUGCGUUGUAUUAGCUAGUUGGUGGGGUAACGGCUCACCAAGGCGACGAUACAUAGCCGACCUGAGAGGGUGAUCGGCCACACUGGGACUGAGACACGGCCCAGACGCCUACGGGAGGCAGCAGUAGGGAAUCUUCGGCAAUGGACGAAAGUCUGACCGAGCAACGCCGCGGGAGGGAAGAAGGUUUUCGGAUCGUAAAGCUCUGUUGUAAGAGAAGAACGAGUGUGAGAGUGGAAAGUUCACACUGUGACGGUAUCUUACCAGAAAGGGACGGCUAACUACGUG
rnacentral:rRNA from 1 species